rnacentral:pre_miRNA from 1 species
AGAGUACUCCCUUCGUUCGGAAUUACUUGUCGCAGAAAUAGAUGUAUCUAGACAUAUUUUAGUUCUAGAUACAUCCAUUUCCGAGACAAGUAAUUCCGAACGGAGGGAGUAUUAU